GGGCCUAUAGCUCAGUUGGUUAGAGCGCCGGACUCAUAAUCCGUCGGUCGUAGGUUCAAGUCCUACUGGGCCCA
rnacentral:tRNA from 2 species